rnacentral:misc_RNA from 1 species
CUUUCUUUGAUAGAAUAAAAAAAAGUUAAUAUUUCAUUAAAACAAGGCUGCUUACAUCCCAGUACAGAGAUUGGCUCAUGGCCAUAAUACAAUCAAAUCAAACCUAACCUAUGAUCUAAUAAGAGAGUCUUAAAAAACUAGCCCCAAACAAUAUUCGGCCCAAACCCAUUAGCACAAACUCUAGUUGGGGCAGGUCAUGUGUCAAAAUCCAACACCUGCCAGAACCAAGGAGAGACGCCUCUGCCGCUCGUCGCUGAACAUUAUUCACCAAGAGGGAGAUUGCAGCAAACUGAAGCUCAUCGCGUGGGCCACACACGGCUACAAAGCCUUUCU